AGCAAUGCGCUUGGAGAGGAGUUCGCGGCAGAUUAGUUAGUUGGCAGGGUAAUGGCCUACCAAGACGAUGAUCUGUAUCCGGCCUGAGAGGGCGCACGGACACACUGGAACUGAAACACGGUCCAGACUCNUACGGGAGGCAGCAGUGGGGAAUUUUGCGCAAUGGGGGAAACCCUGACGCAGCAACGCCGCGUGGAGGAUGAGGUAUCUCGGUACGUAAACUCCUUUCGAUGGGGAAGAUAAUGACGGUACCCAUAGAAGAAGCCCCGGCUAACUUCGUGCCAGCAGCCGCGGUAAUACGAGGGGGGCAAGCGUUGUUCGGAUUUAUUGGGCGUAAAGGGUGCGUAGGCGGUUUGGCAAGUCUUAUGUGAAAUCUAUGGGCUCAACCCAUAGUCUGCAUGAGAAACUACCGGGCUUGAGUGAUGGAGAGGUGAGUGGAAUUUCCGGUGUAGCGGUGAAAUGCGUAGAUAUCGGAAGGAACACCUGUGGCGAAAGCGGCUCACUGGACAUUAACUGACGCUGAUGCACGAAAGCUAGGGGAGCAAACAGGAUUAGAUACCCUGGUAGUCCUAGCCCUAAACGAUGAUUGCUUGGUGUGGCAGGUACCCAAUCCUGCCGUGCCGAAGCUAACGCGAUAAGCAAUCCGCCUGGGGAGUACGGUCGCAAGACUGAAACUCAAAGGAAUUGACGGGGGCCCGCACAAGCGGUGGAGCAUGUGGUUUAAUUCGACGCAACGCGAAGAACCUUACCUGGGCUCGAAAUGCACAAGAAUCCGGCAGAAACGUCGGCGCCUAGCAAUAGGCUUGUGUAUAGGUGCUGCAUGGCUGUCGUCAGCUCGUGUCGUGAGAUGUUGGGGUAAGUCCCGCAACGAG
rnacentral:rRNA from 1 species